AACACAUGCAAGUCGAACGAGUAAGAGCCCAGCUUGCUGGGAAUUCUGCUAGUGGCGCACGGGUGAGUAACGCGUGGGAACGUGCCCUUGGGUACGGAAUAACGUCUGGAAACGGACGCUAAUACCGUAUGAUGUCUUCGGACCAAAGAUUUAUCGCCCAGGGAUCGGCCCGCGUGAGAUUAGCUAGUUGGUGAGGUAAUGGCUCACCAAGGCUACGAUCUCUAGCUGGUCUGAGAGGAUGAUCGGCCACACUGGAACUGAGAAACUGUCCAGUCUCCUACGGGAGGCAGCAGUGGGGAAUAUUGGACAAUGGGCGAAAGCCUGAUCCAGCCAUGCCGCGUGAGUGAUGAAGGCCUUCGGGUUGUAAAACUCUUUAGCCAGGGAAGAUGAUGACGGUACCUGGAAAAUAAGCACCGGCUAACUUCGUGCCAGCCGCCGCAGUAA
rnacentral:rRNA from 1 species